rnacentral:rRNA from 1 species
UGAAUACGAGACGCUAAGGCGUCGAAGUAGUGUAUGUCAUACUUCCAAGAAAAGCUUGCACUGUCAUAAGUAAAAAAUGCCUGUACCAUAACCGACACAGGUGGGUAGGUAGAGUAUACUAAGGGGCGCGAGAUAACUCUCUCUAAGGAACUCGGCAAAAUAACUCCGUAACUUCGGGAGAAGGAGUACCUUAUUCUAUAAGGUUGCAAUAACAAGAUCCAAGCAACUGUUUAUCAAAAACACAGGUCUCCGCUAAGUCGUAAGACGAUGUAUGGGGGCUGACGCCUGCCCAGUGCCAGAAGGUUAAAGAAGUCGGUUAGCAUUAGCGAAGCUGGUAACUGAAGCCCUGGUGAACGGCGGCCGUAACAAUAACGGUCCUAAGGUAGCGAAAUUCCUUGUCGGGUAAGUUCCGACCCGCACGAAAGGCGUAAUGAUUUGGAUACUGUCUCGGAGAGGGGCUCGGUGAAAUAGACUUGUCUGUGAAGAUGCGGACUACCUGCACCAGGACAGAAAGACCCUAUGAAGCUUUACUGUAACUUGAAAUUGAAAUUGGACUUUAUUCGCGCAGUAUAGGUGGGAGGUGUUGAUUAUAAUCUUGCGGGAUUAUUGGAGCCAUCAGUGAGAUACCACUCUUGUAAUGUUAGAUUUCUAACUUUGAAUCAUUAUCUGGUCAAAGGACAGUUUCAGGCGGGCAGUUUGACUGGGGCGGUCGCCUCCCAAACGGUAACGGAGGCGUACAAAGGUUUCCUCUGAACGGGUAGAAAUCGUAUCUAGAGUGUAAAGGCAUAAGGAAGCUUGACUGUGAGACCUACAAGUCGAACAGGGACGAAAGUCGGUCUUAGUGAUCUGACGGUACUGAGUGGAAAGGCCGUCACUCAACGGAUAAAAGUUACUCUAGGAUAACAGGCUGAUCUCCCCCAAGAGUUCACAUCGACGGGGAGGUUUGGCACCUCGAUGUCGGCUCAUCGCAUCCUGGCGGUAGUACGUCCCAAGGGUUGGGCUGUUCGCCCAUGAAAGCGGUACGCGAGCUGGGUUCAGAACGUCGUGAGACAGUUCGGUCCAUAUCCGGUGUAGGCGUUAGAAUAUUGAGAGGAGCCUUCUUUAGUACGAGAGGACCGAGAAGGACAUACCUCUGGUGUACCAGUUAUCGUGCCAACGGUAAACGCUGGGUAGCUAUGUAUGGAGUGGAUAACCGCUGAAAGCAUCUAAGUGGGAAGCCCACCUCAAGAUAAGUAUUCUC